ensembl:lncRNA
GUCUAAACUAAUAUUAUAAAGAGCCUGUUUAGGUAAUUUUAAGUAUAUUCUAAGUAAAUAUAUUUGAUUUCUCAGACAGUUUCCACUUCCCAGUUUCUUUCCCCAGGAUGAUAUGCAGUCUACAGGAGGAGGUUUGGUAUGACCAGGCUGGCAGGGCUGGAGAGACGUAGUAAAAGGGACCACUGACCUCAUGCUUGUCCUCGGGCUUGCGCUGGCUCUCACACUCUGACGGGGGCUCACCUUCUUGCAUCUGCAACUGUUGGUAGAACUCUCGAUCUGGAUUCUUUCAGUUUGGUGGGGCCUGCUCUCUAUCACUGAGCGAGCCAGCCUCACAGGGCCUCCUUCCACCCAGCCCUCGCUGCAGCCCAUACCAGCCUUCUCCAGGGCCUCCCUUGUCCUGCCACACAGGCCUAUUGCUCCCCCAGCUUCGCAUCAGUUCCACGCAAGAACCUCAGAGGUCCCUGAGGCUCCCACUCACACCCCACCAGCUCACCUCCUGACCACACUGUGCUCUUUGCUCUAUGUCACUCUGAACUAUCUCAAACAUUUCCCUGUGCCUGAGCCUUAACGGGAAAAGAGAAAAAUCAAGAGACCUCUCAUUCCCAACAUUUAUGUAUUAAACAUGGAAAGAUGCUAAACAGUAGCUAAAGAGUUUUUUGUUAUGAUCUGUUACCAUAACAAAAACAACAACAAAAAUGUUCCAGAACUCAAAGGUGCAGCCCUAACUCUGUUCCUUCCUCCCUUCUAAGAUCAAGAGGUCAUUUGCCCACAUUCAUUGAAUCCACUCAAAUCAUGCAUGACAGAUGCUGGUCCAGGCCUGGCAUCUCAGAGAUGAAAAGCAGCCAGACCAUCAUAACAGAAGGGCCUCUCUAACAGAAAGUGAUUCAACCUUAUGCAGAAAACAGCAUCAUCUCCUUACAGACAGCAAUAGCAAUAGACACUUUCCCAGUAGCCCCUGUAAAGUGAGCUGCCUGGAGAGAUUUGGAUUUUUCUGCUCUGUAGCUGCUUCAGAGGCAUUCAGCAAAUCAAACUGUGCCACCCAUUUGGUGGCAGAGUUACGAUUAGCUGGAACAUGGCCUUCUCCUUUUUGGUGACAGCUUUCCUGUGGCUUCUUUGUGCAAGGACCCAAGCCUGAAUCUCAAGAAUAAUUGUCAAGGCUGGGCUUUGGACUGAUACUACCUCUGGGAAUAGGAACAUACUCCUUGGAAUUGCCCGAAGCCCCCAGCACCUGCCCUAACUGUGCCUGCCCGGUUGGGCUCAAAAGCACAUAUGCCCAGUAAUUAGUUGGGCAUCUCUCUUAAUAUUGUCACCAAGACAAAGUAAAUUCUUAUAAGUCUUGCCUCAUCUAUCUUCUAGAAUAUAAAUCCCUUAGGAACAGAAACUAUAUCUUGGUUGGGUCUUAUUGUGGGCCUUUUACAUAGCUGAUAUGCAAGUAUUAAUUGAUGUCUUCAUAUGUUGCUCAGGGGGUGUGCCUUAUGCUUUACAGUUAGUUAACUCAAACAACCACUUUCCCUAAAAUGAAAGAUUGAUGAUUAUGGGGAGAUUCUGUGUACUUGGGAUUGCAUUGCAGAAGUAAUCUAUUUAUGCUAAUUAUCCUUUCU